AAAGUGACCGCGAUCAACUCCGGGUACAUGUAGAUAUUCAUUUUUUUUUUUUUUCGGCUAAUGGAUAAGUCCGCAUUGGAAAGUAACCGCGAUCGACUCCUGGUGCCUGUAGAUUUUUUUCCUUUCUUUUUUCAAUGUUUUUAGCGAUACAAUAAAUAAAUGCUAUGUGUUUAUAUCAUUUCGCCCGCUCUAUGUGCAUUUACCGUACUUCAACGACUUCCGUUUCUGUAAAAUCCAUACAAAGUCCGCAUCCAGUGAGAGCUGUUGCUCAUCGAUUUUACGUUUCUGGAUGUUCUCAUUUUCGGUGGCCGGGUCUUCUUUAACUUAUAUCUUUUAAUUUAGACCUUUAAAACAGCUUAUUUUAAUUAAGAUGGACAGCAAUUUAAAAGUAAGCCGCGAGCGUACCUCAUUUGCAUAAUGUUUCCAACCCAUGGAGCGAGCGACACAUUUCCCCAUAACUCACGAUAACUCGUGUUGCACAUGCGCAAUUCACGAGUUAAAAAUGGGUGUUCAAACAAUAAUUUAGAAAAUAAGUCCCUGAAGAAAUUGACUUGUUUUGUGCUAAGUCUUGACAAUGUGCGCCUCGCAAAUAUGCACUGCUGGGAUAAUUGACUUGUUUGGAAUAACCUUGACAGUUAUAAGAUUAGCAUUUUAGAAAUGUCAUAUAAGAAUACUAUUUUAAGUGAAUUAAUUUGACGUUUUUAGUUUAGAACAAUGCAGUAAAGUCCAAAAUUAAGGCAGGCUCUCGUACAAGCUGUAAAACAUCUGAAUUUUCUUCAGUUCCCGGCUUCAACUACAUAACUUCAAACAAUCUCUUUUUUCUGCUUAAGUGGAUCUACAGUUAGGCUCUUUUGCUUGUUAGGUUUAAACAAGGAAGAUAUCGUUAAUUAUUCAUCACGCAGGUGUGCGCAUUCAAAUUAAAGAAAGCGUCUCUCGUCCACUUUCGUCCAACCAGAAAGGAGUUUAUCCUGCAGCAGAACUAAACAGGUUGAGACUGGAGCGUUUGCUCUCAGAAAAAAACGAAAAAAAAACCCAGGUAAAAUGAGCCUUAAUUAUCAAAUACUCAGUUUUCUGCUAUACGAAAUGUAUUGUUGAUGUUUUAAUAUAUGAUAUAUGCGGAAGUUUCUUACCAGUCCAAGCUUACUUCUCAGUGUUUACCACAAGAGGAAGUUGCAGUUUACACAAGCAAGAUAAACCCUUCUGAAAGAGAAGUUAUCCUGCAGCAGGAAUCUUUAGUUUGAGACCGAAGAGUUUGCUUCCGAGAAAAAAUACAACAAAACAGUGUAGUCGGUUUACCACAAGAGGAAGACACAGUUUGCACAUAGAAGGCAAAGCCUUCUGGCAAGUUAUUCUUAAUUAGUACUUUUUUAACAUUAGGUAUUAUAUAAUUCUAAUAUUUUUUGGAUGAAAAAAAGUCAUCUUGUUUCCAGUGUCAGUUUUCCCAUUGUUUCGGUACUAUUCGGACAUUACGCUUGAAAAUUAUGAAUUU